UGCGUAGGCGGAAAUUUAAGUCAGUGAUGAAAUCCUGCAGCUCAACUGUAGAACUGUCAUUGAUACUGAAUUUCUUGAAUACGGUUGAGGUAGGCGGAAUGUGUAAUGUAGCGGUGAAAUGCUUAGAUAUUACACAGAACACCGAUUGCGAAGGCAGCUUACUAAGCCGAUAUUGACGCUGAGGCACAAAAGCGUGGGGAGCGAACAGGAUUAGAUACCCUGGUAGUCC
rnacentral:rRNA from 1 species